rnacentral:misc_RNA from 1 species
CGCACUGAAACAGUUUUAAAUACUCGGUAGUCGAUUUCCAACGCAGCGCAGCCGCUGUCCUUGGGACUUGAAAUUUUAAUAUUCCGUCGUAUGUAUUUGACAUGAAAGUCAGCGAACCGGAUAAAGGCGGUUUAAAUAUGGGAUUGUCUGCCUUGGAAAGAAAUAUCAGGAUUAACGAUUUCUCGCAUGGAGGGCACGAUGGAAACAAAGACACAAUGACAGGGCGGACACAUUGCACAAGCUAAUUAAG